UACGUAGGUGGCGAGCGUUGUCCGGAUUUACUGGGCGUAAAGGGAGCGUAGGCGGACUUUUAAGUGAGAUGUGAAAUACUCGGGCUCAACUUGAGUGCUGCAUUUCAAACUGGAAGUCUAGAGUGCAGGAGAGGAGAAUGGAAUUCCUAGUGUAGCGGUGAAAUGCGUAGAGAUUAGAAAGAACACCAGUGGCGAAGGCGAUUCUCUGGACUGUAACUGACGCUGAGGCUCGAAAGCGUGGGGAGCAAACAGG
rnacentral:rRNA from 1 species